GAUGAACGCUGGCGGCGUGCCUAAUACGUGCAAGUCGAGCGAACGGACGAGAAGCUUGCUUCUCUGAUGUUAGCGGCGGACGGGUGAGUAACACGUGGAUAACCUACCUAUAAGACUGGGAUAACUUCGGGAAACCGGAGCUAAUACCGGAUAAUAUUUUGAACCGCAUGGUUCAAAAGUGAAAGACGGUCUUGCUGUCACUUAUAGAUGGAUCCGCGCUGCUUUAGCUAGUUGGUAAGGUAACGGCUUACCAAGGCAACGAUGCAUAGCCGACCUGAGAGGGUGAUCGGCCACACUGGAACUGAGACACGGUCCAGACUCCUACGGGAGGCAGCAGUAGGGAAUCUUCCGCAAUGGGCGAAAGCCUGACGGAGCAACGCCGCGUGAGUGAUGAAGGUCUUCGGAUCGUAAAACUCUGUUAUUAGGGAAGAACAUAUGUGUAAGUAACUGUGCACAUCUUGACGGUACCUAAUCAGAAAGCCACGGCUAACUACGUG
rnacentral:rRNA from 1 species